GGUUAAGCGACUAAGCGUACACGGUGGAUGCCCUGGCAGUCAGAGGCGAUGAAGGGCGUGCUAAUCUGCGAUAAGCGCCGGUAAGGUGAUAUGAACCGUUAUAACCGGCGAUACCCGAAUGGGGAAACCCAGUGUGACUCGUCACACUAUCAUUAACUGAAUCCAUAGGUUAAUGAGGCGAACCGGGGGAACUGAAACAUCUAAGUACCCCGAGGAAAAGAAAUCAACCGAGAUUCCCCCAGUAGCGGCGAGCGAACGGGGAGGAGCCCAGAGCCUGAAUCAGCAUGUGUGUUAGUGGAAGCGUCUGGAAAGGCGCGCGAUACAGGGUGAUAGCCCCGUACACAAAAGCGCAUGUGUUGUGAGCUCGAUGAGUAGGGCGGGACACGUGGUAUCCUGUCUGAAUAUGGGGGGACCAUCCUCCAAGGCUAAAUACUCCUGACUGACCGAUAGUGAACCAGUACCGUGAGGGAAAGGCGAAAAGAACCCCGGCGAGGGGAGUGAAAAAGAACCUGAAACCGUGUACGUACAAGCAGUGGGAGCACAGGUUUACCUGUGUGACUGCGUACCUUUUGUAUAAUGGGUCAGCGACUUAUAUUCUGUAGCAAGGUUAACCGAAUAGGGGAGCCGGAGGGAAACCGAGUCUUAAUUGGGCGUUAAGUUGCAGGGUAUAGACCCGAAACCCGGUGAUCUAGCCAUGGGCAGGUUGAAGGUUGGGUAACACUAACUGGAGGACCGAACCGACUAAUGUUGAAAAAUUAGCGGAUGACCUGUGGCUGGGGGUGAAAGGCCAAUCAAACCGGGAGAUAGCUGGUUCUCCCCGAAAGCUAUUUAGGUAGCGCCUCGUGAAUUCAUCUUCGGGGGUAGAGCACUGUUUCGGCUAGGGGGCCAUCCCGGCUUACCAACCCGAUGCAAACUGCGAAUACCGGAGAAUGUUAUCACGGGAGACACACGGCGGGUGCUAACGUCCGUCGUGAAGAGGGAAACAACCCAGACCGCCAGCUAAGGUCCCAAAGUCAUGGUUAAGUGGGAAACGAUGUGGGAAGGCCCAGACAGCCAGGAUGUUGGCUUAGAAGCAGCCAUCAUUUAAAGAAAGCGUAAUAGCUCACUGGUCGAGUCGGCCUGCGCGGAAGAUGUAACGGGGCUAAACCAUGCACCGAAGCUGCGGCAGCGAACGUAUCACCCAAGACAACUUUGCGGAGUUGACGAUUGACGGAGCGAAGCGACGUCAAAGCGUUCAUUAAAGUCGAGUUGGCUUAGGGAUACGUUCGUUGGGUAGGGGAGCGUUCUGUAAGCCUGUGAAGGUGGCCUGUGAGGGUUGCUGGAGGUAUCAGAAGUGCGAAUGCUGACAUAAGUAACGAUAAAGCGGGUGAAAAGCCCGCUCGCCGGAAGACCAAGGGUUCCUGUCCAACGUUAAUCGGGGCAGGGUGAGUCGACCCCUAAGGCGAGGCCGAAAGGCGUAGUCGAUGGGAAACGGGUUAAUAUUCCCGUACUUGGUGUUACUGCGAAGGGGGGACGGAGAAGGCUAUGUUGGCCGGGCGACGGUUGUCCCGGUUUAAGCGUGUAGGUGUGUGUUCCAGGUAAAUCCGGUUCACUUUAACACUGAGGCGUGACGACGAGGCACUACGGUGCUGAAGCAACAAAUGCCCUGCUUCCAGGAAAAGCCUCUAAGCAUCAGGUAACAUCAAAUCGUACCCCAAACCGACACAGGUGGUCAGGUAGAGAAUACCAAGGCGCUUGAGAGAACUCGGGUGAAGGAACUAGGCAAAAUGGUGCCGUAACUUCGGGAGAAGGCACGCUGACACGUAGGUGAAGUGAUUUACUCAUGGAGCUGAAGUCAGUCGAAGAUACCAGCUGGCUGCAACUGUUUAUUAAAAACACAGCACUGUGCAAACACGAAAGUGGACGUAUACGGUGUGACGCCUGCCCGGUGCCGGAAGGUUAAUUGAUGGGGUCAGCGCAAGCGAAGCUCCUGAUCGAAGCCCCGGUAAACGGCGGCCGUAACUAUAACGGUCCUAAGGUAGCGAAAUUCCUUGUCGGGUAAGUUCCGACCUGCACGAAUGGCGUAAUGAUGGCCAGGCUGUCUCCACCCGAGACUCAGUGAAAUUGAACUCGCUGUGAAGAUGCAGUGUACCCGCGGCAAGACGGAAAGACCCCGUGAACCUUUACUAUAGCUUGACACUGAACAUUGAGCCUUGAUGUGUAGGAUAGGUGGGAGGCUUUGAAGUGUGGACGCCAGUCUGCAUGGAGCCGACCUUGAAAUACCACCCUUUAAUGUUUGAUGUUCUAACGUGGACCCGUAAUCCGGGUUGCGGACAGUGUCUGGUGGGUAGUUUGACUGGGGCGGUCUCCUCCUAAAGAGUAACGGAGGAGCACGAAGGUUGGCUAAUCCUGGUCGGACAUCAGGAGGUUAGUGCAAUGGCAUAAGCCAGCUUGACUGCGAGCGUGACGGCGCAAGCAGGUGCGAAAGCAGGUCAUAGUGAUCCGGUGGUUCUGAAUGGAAGGGCCAUCGCUCAACGGAUAAAAGGUACUCCGGGGAUAACAGGCUGAUACCGCCCAAGAGUUCAUAUCGACGGCGGUGUUUGGCACCUCGAUGUCGGCUCAUCACAUCCUGGGGCUGAAGUAGGUCCCAAGGGUAUGGCUGUUCGCCAUUUAAAGUGGUACGCGAGCUGGGUUUAGAACGUCGUGAGACAGUUCGGUCCCUAUCUGCCGUGGGCGCUGGAGAACUGAGGGGGGCUGCUCCUAGUACGAGAGGACCGGAGUGGACGCAUCACUGGUGUUCGGGUUGUCAUGCCAAUGGCACUGCCCGGUAGCUAAAUGCGGAAGAGAUAAGUGCUGAAAGCAUCUAAGCACGAAACUUGCCCCGAGAUGAGUUCUCCCUGAGACUUUAGAUCUCCUGAAGGAACGUUGAAGACGACGACGUUGAUAGGCCGGGUGUGUAAGCGCAGCGAUGCGUUGAGCUAACCGGUACUAAUGAACCGUGAGGCUUAACCUU
rnacentral:rRNA from 1 species